ACUAGGGAUCGGACGAUGUUACAUUUUUGACGCGUUCGGCACCUUACGAGAAAUCAAAGUGCUUGGGCUCCAGGGGGAGUAUGGUCGCAAGGCUGAAACUUAAAGAAAUUGACGGAAGGGCACCACCAGGGGUGGAGCCUGCGGCUUAAUUUGACUCAACACGGGGAAACUCACCAGGUCCAGACACAAUGAGGAUUGACAGAUUGAGAGCUCUUUCUUGAUUUUGUGG
rnacentral:rRNA from 1 species